rnacentral:rRNA from 1 species
GACGAACGCUGGCGGCGUGCUUAACACAUGCAAGUCGAGCGGUAAGGCCCUUUCGGGGGUACACGAGCGGCGAACGGGUGAGUAACACGUGGGUGACCUGCCCUCAGCUCUGGGAUAAGCCUGGGAAACCGGGUCUAAUACUGGAUAUGACUCCAUGACGCAUGUUGUGGGGUGGAAAGCCUUGUGCGGCUGAGGAUGGGCCCGCGGCCUAUCAGCUUGUUGGUGGGGUGANGGCCUACCAAGGCGACGACGGGUAGCCGGCCUGAGAGGGCGACCGGCCACACGUGGACUGAGACACGGCCCAGACUCCUACGGGAGGCAGCAGUGGGGAAUCUUGCGCAAGUGGGCGAAAGCCUGACGCAGCGACGCCGCGUGAGGAUGACGCC